rnacentral:rRNA from 1 species
GACGAACGCUGGCGGCGUGCUUAACACAUGCAAGUCGGGCGGAAAGGCCCUUUCGGGGGUACUCGAGCGGCGAACGGGUGAGUAACACGUGAGUAAUCUGCCCCUGGCUUUGGGAUAGCCACCGGAAACGGUGAUUAAUACCGGAUACGACCACUUCUCGCAUGGGAUGGUGGUGGAAAGUUUUUCGGCCAGGGAUGUGCUCGCGGCCUAUCAGCUUGAUGGUGAGGUAAUGGCUCACCAUGGCUUCGACGGGUAGCCGGCCUGGGAGGGUGACCGGUCACACUGGGACUGGGCCACGGCCCAGAGUCCUACGGGAGGCAGCAGUGGGGGAUAUUGGACAAUGGGCGGAAGCCUGAUCCAGCAACGCCGCGUGAGGGAUGACGGCCUUCGGGUUGUAAACCUCUUUCAGCAGGGACGAAGCGCAAGUGACGGUACCUGCAGAAGAAGCACCGGCCAACUACGUGCCAGCAGCCGCCGUAA